GUGUCUCUCUACUCUCUGUGCCAGGGUGAGGCUACCGAUCUCAUUCUCCUGGAGCGUGUGAGUGUGUGAGUGGAGUUAGGAAGCAAGGAUGGAGAAAGAGACAUAGUGAACAAGAGCGAGAGAAAGGAAGUAUGAAUGAGAGUGUGUGUGAGACCAGAGCUGGGAAGCUCGUGGAAGCGACGGAACACAAGCAACACUACUGUCUGCAAAGAUCAUGAGGGUAUCUGAGGGCAGUCAGAAUGGCGCUUCCUGAAUGAUGUUACACAACACCAUGUGGACCCUCUAAACUAGUGUGACCCGCAUGGAGGAGGACGCUGAUGAAUGAUGUGUUAUACCUCUAUGAUGGGGCAGGGCAGCUGGUGUUGUGAAUCAGGCCGCCGUGGUGAAAGGGUACGGCUUCUUCACAACACCAGGGUCUCACCUCAUCACACACAACCACACCAUUCACACACUUGCACAUGAACCUGUCAACUGAUUGAGUGAGAGGAUACAGCUUUCCCACCAUGUGUCCUAAAAAUGAACCUGGGUCUGCUGAUGACAGAUGAAGAUGUAGUAGAGUUGCUGUAUAUUCUCUGCUCUGUACGUACUGAGAUUUUGGUGUAUUAUUGUGGCUGAGUGUCUUAUAGUAGUUCAGUGGCCAUGUCAGUGGAUUUAAUUCUCAUAUCAGAUAAGCACAGUGAAUUAAAUUCCAGUGAGUGUUGAUAUUAAUGACAUAAAACAAAUAUCAUUGUGAGACUAGAAUUGCACUUGAAUAUUUGUUUAGCAGCCAAGGUAAACUCUAAUGUCUUAUCAUGUGAUUUUUGAAACAUACUUUUUUUUUAAGCAGCAGAAGUGUAUUGGAACUUAACUUGCAUAAUAAAUAAUACAAAUAAAAGUUAAUAAAAUGACUGUGUGGAUUUCUUUAUGGAAAAUGGGGAUAAAAGAGAUCAUUCUUUUAUCUGUUUAUACAUUUUAUCUAUUUAUUUGGUCACACUUUAGUUUGGGGAGCAAUUCUCACUAUUAACUACCAACUAUCUACGACUUUUGCCUCAAUAAACUCUUAAUUUGCUGCUUAUUGAUAGUUAGUAAGGCAGUUGUUAAAUUAGUCUGGGGUGGUAUAAAGGGAUCUAAAAUAUUGUCAUGCAGAAUAAGGUAUUAAUAUGUG